CACGUAGUUGGCCGGGGCUUCUUAGUCAGGUACCGUCAUUUUCUUCCCUGCUGAUAGAGCUUUACAUACCGAAAUACUUCUUCACUCACGCGGCGUCGCUGCAUCAGGGUUUCCCCCAUUGUGCAAUAUUCCCCACUGCUGCCUCCCGUAGGAGUUUGGGCCGUGUCUCAGUCCCAAUGUGGCCGGUCACCCUCUCAGGUCGGCUACUGAUCGUCGGCUUGGUGGGCCGUUACCCCGCCAACUACCUAAUCAGACGCGGGUCCAUCCUGUACCACCGGAGUUUUUCACACCGGACCAUGCGGUCCUGUGCGCUUAUGCGGUAUUAGCAGUCAUUUCUAACUGUUGUCCCCCUGUACAGGGCAGGUUACCCACGCGUUACUCACCCGUCCGCCACUCAGUCAUCCCGGAUUCCAUCCGAAAACUUCCUCCGGCAUGCUUCGUUCGACUUGCAUGUGUUAGGCACGCCGCCAGCGUUCAUCCUGAGCCAGGAUCAAAACUCUA
rnacentral:rRNA from 1 species